CUCAUUAACUUUCUAAUCAUUUAUUUCAAGAUUCCUUAUGAGAGCCAUGUUUUUUGACUGUGGCCCACUACUUGGUACUCUUGUAACCGUAUCCCUAGUAACAAAUAUGAUCACACACUCAAACCUGUAAUACACCAUAAUACACAUUGUAAUGAAGAUCUGUGCAUGGAGAGGUAUGUACUCAUUUUCUCAUGUUGCAGUUCUCUCAAUAGGCCCUUUGGAAGCGGAAUCAUUACCCCAUCCGGCAUUCUUUUAAACAGCCAAAUUAUCAAUUUCUCCUGGCUAACAGGGGCUCAGAACAUGACCUGGUUAAACCAGCGUAAUAGGAUCCAGGGAGGGAAGAGGCCUCUGUCCUGGCUCAUGCCCACUAUAGUGAGACCGACUGGAAGACGGUGUGGGCUAUAUUUGACCCUGGGGACCCCUGAGGGUCUCCAGGGCCUCAGCGGUAUAGCUCAGGUGCUGAUAAAGGUCAUAUCAGACCACAAAAAUCUGACUGACUCUUUAUCUGAAGGGAGACUCCACCCAAGUCUGCAGACAAAUAUCAUUCUGGUUGAUU